UGCCCAAGCUGGAGUGCGAUGGCGCGAUAUCGGCUCACUGCAACCUAUGCCUCCCAGAUUCAAGCGGUUCUCCUGCCUCAGCCUCCCGAGUAGCUGGGAUUACAGGCGCCCGCCACCACGCCCGGCUAAGUUUUUGUAUUUUUAGUAGAAACUGGGUUUCACCAUGUUAGCCAGGCUGGUCUUGAAAUCCUGACCUCAGGUGAUCUGCCCGCAUCUGCCUCCCAAAGUGCUAGGGUUACAGGCAUGAGCCACCGCACCCGGCUGUUAAACAGAAUCUCAAAGAUUUAUAUUUGUUAGGAAUUUGAAACACUAGUACUCAGCCUCACCGGGCCUACAUUCUGCUUGGCAACAAUUUUCUUGACCUGAUCUCAGUUGCCUUUUAUGGAUAGGGAAUGGGUUCUACUUUGCCGCAGUCCCAAGGUAAACUGUUUAAUUUUUCUGUUUUGCCCAGCUCCUCUGGGAAUUGAAGUUGGCAGCUCCUCCCCAGAGUAAGCCCUCUUUAUCUUAAGACCCAGCCUCCAGAGUAUAUAAGUAUAUAAGCUCUGGAAAACUUUCUAAUUUUGAGUUGGUCUGGUAAUAAUUUCCAGGCCUUCUCCCUGUAACUGGUUACAGAAAUAAAAACUCUCUCUCUCCCCAGUUCAUCUGCAACUCUUUACUGGGCCACGAGAAAGAGCAGCCCAAUCCUCAGUUUGGUCCGGGAACACCGUGGUUCAUCAAGGCUCUGCAUUCUUGUGCCUGCUCCAGGGGAUGCAAGUUUCAUGAAGAUGGGAAUGUAUUGGUCUUGUUCCCUGUUGUAUCCCCAGCACCUAGCAAAGUGCCAGAGCAUAAUGGGCACCCCCACAUGAAUGAACGAUUAAUACAUUGACUCUGGAGCUGGCUGGCUUGUUCCUUCUACAAAUCAAUAAAAUCAGUUGCAGAAGUAAA
rnacentral:lncRNA from 1 species